GGGGCGUUAGCUCAGUCGGUUCAGAGCGCAUGCUUGACAGGCAUGAGGUCGACAGUUCGAUUCUGUCACGUCCCA
rnacentral:tRNA from 1 species